CAAUGAUGUAUCAAUAAAACCUCUUGCUGCUGGAGAUCUGCUUACCUGGUGGCCAGGGUGGCAAGACAAGUGAAGCCUGACUAUGCCUGCAGCAUCCACUGUGGAAACUACUACAUCUUUGCCAUGCCAAACACAGCAUGCUUCUGGUCAGCCUAUACAGUCUCUGUCCUGGUGAGGAGCAUGAUCACCAACAGGCAAGAUCUUCUGGCCUUGAAGUUUCGCUUGAGUUAAAAGAGCUCAUCUCAGGACUUUCUGAAUUUUCAGCCCAUAUGACAUGGAAGAAGAGUUAGAAGGGGAAUCUGACUGCUUGGAUCAGGGACUGUCUGGCUGGUGGAACUUGAAUGUAUACAACACUCUUCAUUUGCAUGUUUUGACAUUUUAAAAAAUGUUUUCACUUUCCUUAUCUACUUUGACUCUAAUAACAUCCUGAAAGGUAAGUAGAAUUAUUCUCAUAAUAUGAUGAAGAACCCAAGGCUCUCAAGGGAACACCACUCUUGGAUUAUUUAGCCCCGCUCUUCUACAAGAAUUGCAUACCCCAACCCCUGGAGCCCCUCCC
rnacentral:lncRNA from 10 species